rnacentral:rRNA from 1 species
AGGAAUAUUGGACAAUGGGCGGGAGCCUGAUCCAGCCAUGCCGCGUGCAGGAAGACGGCCCUAUGGGUUGUAAACUGCUUUUGUACGGGAAGAAACACCCCCUCGUGAGGGGGCUUGACGGUACCGUAAGAAUAAGGAUCGGCUAACUACGUGCCAGCAGCCGCGGUAAUACGGAGGAUCCAAGCGUUAUCCGGAAUCAUUGGGUUUAAAGGGUCCGUAGGUGGAUGGUUAAGUCAGAGGUGAAAUCCUGCAGCUCAACUGUAGAAUUGCCUUUGAUACUGGCCAUCUUGAAUCGAUGUGAAGUGGUUAGAAUAUGUAGUGUAGCGGUGAAAUGCAUAGAUAUUACAUAGAAUACCGAUUGCGAAGGCAGAUCACUAACAUCGUAUUGACACUGAUGGACGAAAGCGUGGGGAGCGAA